rnacentral:rRNA from 1 species
AGGGCGCGAGCGUUGUCCGGAAUUAUUGGGCGUAAAGAGCUUGUAGGCGGUUUGUCGCGUCUGCUGUGAAAGGCCGGGGCUUAACCCCGUGUAUUGCAGUGGGUACGGGCAGACUAGAGUGCAGUAGGGGAGACUGGAAUUCCUGGUGUAGCGGUGGAAUGCGCAGAUAUCAGGAGGAACACCGAUGGCGAAGGCAGGUCUCUGGGCUGUAACUGACGCUGAGAAGCGAAAGCAUGGGGAGCGAACAGGAUUAGAUACCCUGGUAGUCCAUGCCGUAAACGUUGGGCACUAGGUGUGGGGGACAUUCCACGUUUUCCGCGCCGUAGCUAACGCAUUAAGUGCCCCGCCUGGGGAGUACGGCCGCAAGGCUAAAACUCAAAGAAAUUGACGGGGGCCCGCACAAGCGGCGGAGCAUGCGGAUUAAUUCGAUGCAACGCGAAGAACCUUACCAAGGCU